CCUACGGGAGGCAGCAGUGGGGAAUAUUGCGCAAUGGGCGAAAGCCUGACGCAGCAACGCCGCGUGGGGGAUGAAGGCCUUCGGGUUGUAAACCUCUUUCAGCAGGGAAGAAGCGAAAGUGACGGUACCUGCAGAAGAAGCACCGGCUAACUACGUGCCAGCAGCCGCGGUAAUACGUAGGGUGCAAGCGUUGUCCGGAUUUAUUGGGCGUAAAGAGCUCGUAGGCGGUUAGUCACGUCGGAUGUGAAAUCCCGGAGCUUAACUCCGGGCCUGCAUUCGAUACGGGCUGACUCGAGUGUUGUAGGGGAGACUGGAACUCCUGGUGUAGCGGUGAAAUGCGCAGAUAUCAGGAAGAACACCGGUGGCGAAGGCGGGUCUCUGGGCAACUACUGACGCUGAGGAGCGAAAGCGUGGGGAGCAAACAGGAUUAGAUACCCUGGUAGUCCACGCCGUAAACGGUGGGCGCUAGGUGUGGGGAACAUUCCACGUUCUCUGCGCCGCNGCUACGCAUAAGACGCCCGCCGUCGGGAGGUACGGCCGCGAGGACGUAAACGUACGAAACGGUAAAGUUAGGUACGGCGUUGUAGACGUUGCCGAACGGACGACCGACGAGGGGAGGUUAGG
rnacentral:rRNA from 1 species